AUUGAACGCUGGCGGCAGGCCUAAUACAUGCAAGUCGAGCGAGCGGCGGACGGGUGAGUAAUGUAUGGGGACUGCCCGAUAGAGGGGGAUAACUACUGGAAACGGUAGCUAAUAACGCAUACUAUCGGCUAACCCAAAUGGGAUUAGCUAGUAGGUGAGGUAAUGGCUCACAUAGGCGACGAUCCCUAGCUGGACUGAGAGGCUGAUCAGCCACACUGGGACUGAGACACGGCCCAGACUCCGACGGAGGCAGCAUUGGGGAAUAUUGCACAAUGGGCGCAAGCCUGAUGCAGCCAUGCCGCGUGUAUGAUGAAGGCCCUAGGGUUGUAAAGUACUUUCAGUAGGGAGGCGUUACCGACAGAAGAAGCACCGGCUAACUCCGUACCAGCAGCCGCGGUAAUUC
rnacentral:rRNA from 1 species